GGUGGAUAAACAGAAACUAAUCAAUCAUACAUCUUCACGUUUGAUCAUGGCACGGGAAAGAGCUGUGAGCACAGGCUUCAGAAACACACAGAGCUCAGAUUCCAUCAGGGUCCUCCAAAGAUUCGUGUGUUAGAGCCAUGGUCACUGGGCAGUGGAGCUGCUGGAAUUGUAAUGAAAUGGCUUCUUCCACAUCAUCCGGUGCCUCCCUUACCUGCCCAGCUCGAAGGUCAGGAGCCAUCCUCCAUGUAUCUCGGUCCCUCAAUUCUCCAGAAAGGAGGGUGUGCUGCCUCAGAUGACAAGACAGAUCCUAAUCUCAACCACCCUGGCCUUCUCCACUGCAGUGGCCAGAACUUUUCCAUCCCCAAUGAGAUUGCAAUAGUUCUGUAGCGCCCCUGGGUCUACACUUGCUCUCCUGUCACCCAGCAUGCACACACAAGCAAGAAUGCUCUGUCCAUUGUUGUGCCUCUCCUCAACUUGAAAUUCUUAUGAAAAUUUCCUGCUUCACUUUACAUGGAAUGUGGACGCCUCACAUACCAAAAGUAGGUGAGUGGGUCUCCAUGUACUUCUCUGUGACCAUCUUGUUCCUCUUCCUGACCAGUCAUGCUGGGCUCCCAUCUGUGGUCAGACCUGGUGAUGUCAUUGCCAGUCUUCAUGGAAUCCUUCUGAUAAAGUGAAUCUUCAGUCAAAAACAAAACAAAACAAAACAAAAUAACAACCCCCCCCCCCACACACACACACAUUCUUAGAGAACUCUUCUGUGACCACUUGUCUAAAUGAGUCCAUCUCCAAAGGCAUUUAUCUGGACUAAAAUCACUAUUUAGUAGUUGUUAUUACUGUUUUCAGUUUACAGUGGCAACCUCCAUUUUCUGGAAGCCUAAGUUUACUGAUAUCUUGCCCACCUCCAUGGGAGCAGACCUGCCCACUCCAGUACUUCUUGCUUAUCAGAACGUCUGUCUGGUGUUGAAUGACAGUUCCAGUUAUCUUGCUAAGUCACUGAUUUGUGGAUGAAAUCUCCUCACAGUGGACCCACUCUGCUCAAGAGCCAGAACCUGUUCCUCCAGACGGCCCAUUACGGCUUCAUGUAUGAGAUAACACUGAAAUCUGACCACCAGUGACUUAGGACCAGACAUUUAUGAACAUAGACUCAAGUUCAGGUUUUAAGGCACAAAUCCAUUGUCUUUGGUACAACGUUUGGGGCUACUCUCAAUGUGGUGGAUUGAAUAUGUUUGGCACAGGGAGUGGCACUCUUAGGAGGUGUGGCCUUGUUGGAGGAAGUGUGUCACUGUGGGGGUGGACUUUGAGGUUCUUAUGUUCAAGCUCUGCCCAGUGUGGAAUGGGAGCUUCCUCCUGACUUUCUGUUGAUAGGCGUCUCCUUCUGCUGCCUUUGGAUGAACUUGCAGAUGGAUGUAGAACUCUCAGCUCCUUCCCCAGCACAGUGUCUGCCUGGAUGCUGCCAUGCUUUCUGCCAUGAUGAUAAUAGACUGAACCUCUGAAACUGUAAUCCAGCCCCAAUGAAAUGUUUUCCUUUCUAAGACUUGCCUUGAUCAUGGUGUCUCUUCACAGCAAUAAAACCCAAACUAAGA
rnacentral:lncRNA from 1 species